rnacentral:rRNA from 1 species
GUGGGGAAUCUUGCGCAAUGGGCGAAAGCCUGACGCAGCCAUGCCGCGUGAAUGAUGAAGGUCUUAGGAUUGUAAAAUUCUUUCACCGGGGAUGAUAAUGACGGUACCCGGAGAAGAAGCUCCGGCUAACUUCGUGCCAGCAGCCGCUGUAUUACUAAGGGGGCUAGCGUUGCCCGGAAUUACUGGGCGUAAAGGGCGCGUCGGCGGGCAGUUUAGUGAGAGGUGAAAGCCCAGGGCUCAACCUUGGAAUUGCCUUUGAUACUGGCUGUCUUGAGUUUGGGGAAGGUGAGUGGAACUCCGAGUGUAGAGGUGAAAUUCGUAGAUAUUCGGGAGAACACCAGUGGCGAAGGCGACUCACUGGCCCAAUACUAACGCUGAGGCGCGAAAGCGUGGGGAGCAGACAGGAUUAGAAACCCCUGUAGUCC